CCAUGGUUUACAAACUGAAAAUAGAAUGAUUUGUGAAGUUGAACAUUUUCUCACAAAGAAUCCGUUUGUAGACAUGUACACUCAUUUAAUCUGCAGCUACGAAGUACUUUGUCACUUCUCUGGAACAUUAUUCUAAGCAGAAUUAUGCCGAUUCAUAUAUUCUAAGAAUCUUGUGUGAAUUGUUUACGAGGAAAUUCUGACUGUCACAUUAACAAGGAUGAACACUCUUGACUCUGCUUCGGAUUCCCCAGUGAUAAUUGUAUCGUGUGAUGAAAGAGCUGACGGCGACAUUUUAAUGUAUGAUUGGCUUGGACCAUUGGAAUGAAGUCAUUUCAUGGUGCCACCACUUGGGAUGGUAUUAGCUGCAAAUAUAGACUUGUACUCAGCACUUAUUGCCUUUAAGAAGUAUGAGAUCCAUUUUGUGCUAACACCUACCGUGACACAGAAUCUUGGUUUAUGCAGUCUCAUAGGAGUAACCUGUCUAAAGCAUUUAGCAAUGGGAUUGGAACCUGCGACGUGUGACUCAUCUGAAUACUGAAUUUUGAUACCAAGCAUGACCAUGAUUUGCCAGAAGAUCAUCUGUUUGGAUGUGACAUGGAAUAAACAGCAUAGUGAAAAUAAGUCAAGUUUUGGUUUGUGAAGACAAUUUUAAAACACACUGUGUAUCAUUUUUAAAUUUUGAUUUGACAACAUAAAUCCACAAAUAUGAACAUAUCAAUUGCUCUCAGUUUUUCAAGUGAAAUAGUUUUUGUAACAGAAAUACAUGUACCAGUAAUUACAUUGGAAUAAAUGUUAUUUUUAAAUAUAAUAAUAUUUUGUUUGUGUAGCAUGUUGACCUCUUUAUUAAGGUCUUCCCUUUCAAAGUUUAGACUUACUUAUUCUAAUGAUUAAGAUAGAUCCUCUGUCUUCAGCAGGAAU